AACAAACGACUGGCGGCGUGCCUAACACAUGCAAGUCGUACGAGAAAGUCGGCUUCGGCCGAUGAGUACAGUGGCGCACGGGUGAGGUAGCGCGUGGGUAAUCUCGCCCCCCGGUCAGGAAUAACCCGCCGAAAGGCGGGCUAAUACCCGAUAACACUGACGCUCCGCGGAGCGUCUUUCAAAGGAGGCCUCUGUUUACAAGCUUUCGCCGGAGGAUGAGCCCGCGUACCAUUAGCUAGUUGGCAGGGUAAUGGCCUACCAAGGCUGCGAUGGUUAGCUGGUCUGAGAGGAUGGCCAGCCACACUGGAACUGAGACACGGUCCAGACUCCUACGGGAGGCAGCAGUGAGGAAUAUUGGUCAAUGGGCGCGAGCCUGAACCAGCCACGUCGCGUGAAGGAUGACGGCCUUAUGGGUUGUAAACUUCUUUUACAGGGGAAUAAAGUGAGUCACGUGUGAUUUUUUGCAUGUACCCUGUGAAUAAGCAUCGGCUAACUCCGUG
rnacentral:rRNA from 1 species